rnacentral:lncRNA from 1 species
UCACAUCCACAACGUCACGAAUGAAACCUUGAAUGAAUGGCGCAAAUUGAUCCAACAUCGGGAUGAUCGUUGUUGGCUGAGGCGGUUCAGAACAUGAUGCACUACGUUUGACUGAAGAGUUGCUGCUUUGAACAGAAUGAAAAGCAUCAACAUACUCCCAGUAAGACGGAUCAAGCUUUGUGGAUCUUUGACUUCUUUUCAUCGGUUUCUUCGGUGCACCUUUAGUGUUGACCUUUGACGGAGGAGGGCACAUAGAGUUCUGAUCAGGGUAUGCAAUUUCUCGAAGUUUACUCUUCAGAGUUACUUUGCCAGACACAUCAAGUUCCUCAAACCUUUUAGAUAUGGUCUCAAUCUCUUCCUUGAUGUUGACUUCCGCCUCACAUAACCCUUGGUGUGAAA